rnacentral:lncRNA from 1 species
AUUAUACUACUUCUCUACUCCAGGGACACAUGGAAAUUAUAAAGCUGGAGACCAGACUGGAAGAUUUCUUGCCACAGUGACAUUCCAACUGCACACAGAAGGCUUGAGUGAGCAACUGAGAAAACAGAGAUGAUAAAAAGUAUCUAGCAAGUUGCUAACUUAUUUGUGCAGACAAGAUAUUUCUGCCGGUACCCCUACCUGGUGGACUGUGCAUGGGAUUCAGUGGAAGUUCUACAUUAGAGGAUGUGGGUAGAAGAAACAGGCCCCUCAAAUUUGGGGUGUCUGUUUUCAUCCUGCAUGAAAGAAAGGAGAUUUUUGCCUGCAACCAUUCAGCUGUGUCCAGCUCCAAGACUGAAAGGAGCUGUGUAAUGAAUGCAAAGUAUCUGAUCAUCAAAACCUGCCUCCAGCCCAGGACUCAGGAGGGGGAAGAGAAGUAAACUUGCUUAGUUUGGACUCUGAGAGGCUCCCUGUUUCUUUUUAGUUCUGCUGGGCAGUUGGUGGGGCUCAGAGGGCUCUGCUAACCCUCUCCUCUGCUGCUUCAGAACUGCUUUUCUCUUAAGACACACUUUGAAUAUAUCCUCACCAUUUUGUCCCAGGAUGGCCAUGCAGGCAAAGUCAAACUGGGACAAUGUUUUGUACAAAACACAGUACAUGAUGUGUUGGGAAUUUAGUGGCUGAAAGACUGCUUGUUCACUUUUUACUCAUGUGUGCUUCACUGAACUUGCUCUUGAUUUAUAGCUGGAUCAGCAAAAUCAGAAUCAGACCCUUGCUGCUCAUUUUUGUGGGAGCAGGACUGGGCCUCCUGUGCUCUUGUGCUCAUUAUAUAUCUCAGCAACAAGUCUCUCAGCUUUGAUUCAUAGAGCUCUCUUUAAUUUGGUACAUGCAGCCUUCCAGACUAGAUCACAUAGCAGCAGGAUAACAAUCCUCAGGAGAGCAUUUCAGUUUGAGAAAUUCAUGAAGAGGGUGACUUUGCUGCUUACCUUCAAUGACACUUGUGGAAUAGGAAAGAGAAGAGUGAAUGAAAUGGAAUUGCCGGCCUGUUUCAAAAUGUAUGCUCUGUUAUCCAGCAGAUGACAAAUAGCAUCCUCAAUAAAGUAAUUCUGGGAGCUGUG